rnacentral:rRNA from 1 species
GGGACUCGGAGACAUUAAGAUUCGGGCUUCGGCCCUCUUCAGCUGUGCGCUUCGGCUGCACGCUGUUAAAAUCUCACACCUGUGCACCCUUUCGGUCGCGGCGUUCACGCGUCGCUUCCGCUUUACAUCCAACUACAAAAGUCCAGAAUGUACAAAACCAUAAAUGUAACAACUUUCAACAACGGAUCUCUUGGCUCUCGCAUCGAUGAAGAACGCAGCGAAAUGCGAUAAGUAAUGUGAAUUGCAGAAUUCAGUGAAUCAUCGAAUCUUUGAACGCAUCUUGCGCUCCAUGGUAUUCCGUGGAGCAUGCCUGUUUGAGUGUCACGUGAAACCUCACAUCUGCGAUGUCAAAGUCGCAGAAGGUGGACUUGGACCGUGCCGUAACCGGCUCGUCUUGAAAUGCAUUAGCUCGCGCUUUUAGGGUUGCUGGCAUAGGUGUGAUAAUUAUCUGCGCCGUCGCCUCGAGCCCUUCAGUGGCGCUGCUUACAGUCGUCCCGCAUCAGGACAACUUUUAAAGCUUUGGCCUCAAAUCAGGUAGGACUACCCGCUGAACUUAAGCAUAUCAAUAAAGCGGAGGAAAACCCCCCC